AAUAAAUGUAGUUUUACAUUUUUUAUAUUCAACGUUUGAUUAUUCGUCUUAUUUAAAAAAAAAUUAUAAUUAAUAUUUUUAUUGUUGUUAGAUAAUAAAACAUGAAUAAUACUUUAUUUGUGACUAAUUUUUUAAAUAUUUUCAUAAAUUUUUCAAAUAAGAUGGACGGUUAAAUGUUUGACAAAAAUACCACAACUGUAUUUAUU
rnacentral:pre_miRNA from 1 species